ensembl:snRNA U6 U6 spliceosomal RNA
GUGGUCACUCUGGCAGCACACAUACUAAAAAUGGAACAAUACAAAGAAAAUUAGUAUGGUCUCUGUGCAAGGAUGACAUGCAAAUCUGUGAAGUUUUCCAUAUUUUA